AUGCCUUGCACCAACUCAAUGGCAAGUGGAAAAGGAAGCACAGGAGGGGGGAAAAGAACAAGCAGGAAUUCCUUCAGUCGUACUCAGCUCCUAAACGACAACUGCUUCCUUUUGUUCACACACUGCCCCUUUCCAACGCUGCUGCUCUCAGACCCUCUGAGCAUGACCCCCGGCCGAUACCACAGCUCUCAGGGAGCAGGUAUCACUCCCCAGCUGGAGCAUCCUACAAAAUUAUGCAACCCCAGCUCGUCAAGUUCCUCUUCGCACAAGGCUUCGCUAGGAGACCAGCUCACGCACAUGAUUCAAGUGUUCUCCCAGCGACAUUUCCGAACCAACCACAGCGUAGCCAGGGAGUCGAUGACAUUUCGGGUGAACUGAACAGGGGAGAAAAAGCCUGAGUCUUUGGACGACGAUGCCUAUCACAGAGCGCAGCCCCCGGCCUGCUCACGCUGAGGUGCGGAGGAGACAACUUAAGGACCCGCGCUAAGUAAAAAGCUGCAAUCAAAUGAGCAACGGCAUCAAAAGGAGAAAAAAAGAUGCCAGUGUGCAGUGAUCUACAAGACGCUUGAAAUUACAUAAUGCUUCCAAAAGUGACACUCCUGUCCCAGAAAGGGCCCCGGGCGCAGGGAUAUCCGUGGGGUCUGUUUGCAUCAGGCACGAAGCAAAAAUAUCCCAGCGGCUGCAUGAAUGGGAAGGAUCCAAAUUUGGAUGCUCUAAAAACAAGCUGCUCUCAGCCUACAGCCUUUUGGUUUCAAAGUGCCAGGUCUCGGGAGGGGGAAGCGCCUCCCUGCCGAAUGGGGCGCUCGGGCAGGCCGGCGCUGCCGGGAGAGGAGCAGCGAGGGCGGCAGGCCCUUCCCCGGCCCAAGCGCAGGUGCAAAGACUGAACACCAGAAGGAAAGAAAAACCAAUGUGUUUUUAGAGCGCCCCCCUGCCGAAUGGGGCGCUCGGGCAGGCCGGCGCUGCCGGGAGAGGAGCAGCGAGGGCGGCAGGCCCUUCCCCGGCCCAAGCGCAGGUGCAAAGACUGAACACCAGAAGGAAAGAAAAACCAAUGUGUUUUUAGACUUCCUGCCUGCAGGCCGGGACUCUGGGGGGGAGCCGGGGAGCCCGAGCCGGCAGCCUUGGAGGGACGUGGGCACCCAGCGGCCCUUGGUGCUCACCCCUGCGUGCUGGUUACCCCGGGGGGGUCUCGUUUGCACUGAUCCG
rnacentral:lncRNA from 1 species